rnacentral:lncRNA from 1 species
UGGAGGGUUGGAGACAAACGGUGGACAGACAAGGCAGACGUUCACAAGCUCAGACACAGGGACAGAAUUCACUUUUCUGAAUCUCUGCAGUGAAGCUCUGGUGGGACCAGGGAGAGGAGGCCCAGAUGAAGAAUCCCGGUGACCUCUGAGGCUUCGCUUUCACUUUCAACGAUACAAGAGCAUCCUGGUGGUGCUUUCGUACAAGAGCCCACUAAAUAUCACUUCCUCUGAGGGAACAGAGGCUAGAAAACCCCUUUUCCUGGUUGGGCCAAACAUGAGGUGCUUCCUGGUUUACAAGGGGAGCAGCCCAUCAGUCCCUGUGCCUACGCCCCCCCUCCCCCGCAUCCCAUGCCUGGCUCACUUCUGACGCCCUUGCUCACUCACUUCGGGCAGCAGAGGAAAAGAGCAGAAGCUUUGGAUUCUGGCAGCUGGACCUCCCGUUGCUGCCAGGAUGAACCCUGGCCAGGCAUGGCGCCUCCUUGCAGCACAGAGCUGGCUUUGCCUGGAUCUGAAGGAGGAGUUUUCCUCAGGGCCCCGGAUGUCUCGGCUUUGCGCUGUGCCGGGCGGACCUGAGAGAGAACCAGAGCGCAAGCGUACUUUGCAUUUGACGGCAGAGAGAAAGGGAGCGAGAGAAAGGAAGUCCUCCCGGAAAGGACAGUGAAGGCAGUUCCUGCGCUGGGGACCCGGACCCUGAUCCCUCUGGAAAUUCCAGAAGAAUAUCCUGCAUGGGGAGAGGACUCCAGGGUCUUGACUGGGGUCUGAUGGGGUAUUAAUGGAGCGAUCCCACAUUCAUUGCGUGAGGCUUGCUCUCACUUUCUGCCUCUGCUUUCUCUGUCGGGGUAAUGAAGGUGCUGGCCGCAGGGAGCUCUGACACCUGCAAGCAGGAUGGGUGGGGGCAGGGCUCGGUGUCUUCUGCUACAGGAGAUUCUGAAGAAGGAAGCCAAGGUCUCUACCUAUGUUCUCCUCGUGGAGUGUGAGACAUCCAAGUAACACCCUCAAUUCUUCUGAAAUUGCCUUUUGGUUGCUACAGUGUGUCCUCAGCCGGGCACGCCAGCAGCCUGGACCACGUGGGUAGCUAACUACUCUGUGAGGCUCUCGCCCCUCGUGUCCGCACCACACCGGAGACGUGUCCGCUAUUGUGCUCCGAGCACUGGGUCGG